CCUACGGGAGGCAGCAGUAGGGAAUAUUGCUCAAUGGGGGAAACCCUGAAGCAGCAACGCCGCGUGGAGGAUGAAGGUUUUCGGAUUGUAAACUCCUUUUGUUAGAGAAGGUAAUGACGGUAUCUAACGAAUAAGCACCGGCUAACUCCGUGCCAGCAGCCGCGGGAAUACGGAGGGUGCAAGCGUUACUCGGAAUCACUGGGCGUAAAGAGCGCGUAGGCGGGAUAGCAAGUCAGAUGUGAAAUCCUAUGGCUUAACCAUAGAACUGCAUUUGAAACUGUUAGUCUAGAGUAUGGGAGAGGUAGGUGGAAUGCUUGGUGUAGGGGUAAAAUCCGUAGAGAUCGAGAGGAAUACUCAUUGCGAAGGCGACCUGCUGGACUGUGACUGACGUUGAGGCCCGAAGGCGUGGGGAGCGAACAGGAUUAGAUACCCCAGUAGUC
rnacentral:rRNA from 1 species